rnacentral:SRP_RNA from 1 species
GACUCGGACCCAUGCGGUUACAACGCCCAAAUCUUGUCAGGACCGGAAGGUAGCAGCAAUACGGGAUGCUUGUAACAGGCGUGGUCUCCGGGUCUUUU